rnacentral:rRNA from 1 species
UACGUAGGGGGCAAGCGUUGUCCGGAAUCAUUGGGCGUAAAGCGCGUGUAGGCGGCCCGGUAAGUCCGCUGUAAAAGUCCAGGGCUCAACCCUGGAAAGCCGGUGGAUACUGUCGGGCUCGAGUCCGGAAGAGGCGAGUGGAAUUCCUGGUGUAGCGGUGAAAUGCGCAGAUAUCAGGAGGAACACCAAUAGCGAAGGCAGCUCGCUGGGACGGUAUUGACGCUAAGGCGCGAAAGCGUGGGGAGCAAACAGG